ACGACUCUCGGCAACGGAUAUCUCGGCUCUCGCAUCGAUGAAGAACGUAGCGAAAUGCGAUACUUGGUGUGAAUUGCAGAAUCCCGUGAACCAUCGAGUCUUUGAACGCAAGUUGCGCCCUAAGCCUUCUGGCCGAGGGCACGUCUGCCUGGGUGUCA
rnacentral:rRNA from 7 species